CCUAAGGGCAGUAGGGAUGAGAACAUGAAGGAACGCGAGUGCUCUGAAUUUCUCGUCUCGCACGGAGGACAUGUGCACUGUCGUGUUCCUGAUGCCUCUCAUUCCUAUGGUUCUUAGG